rnacentral:tRNA from 1 species
GGGGCCUUGGGGUAGCUUGGUUAUCCUUAGAGCUUUGGGAGCUUUGGACCCCGGUUCAAAUCCGGGAGGCCCCACCA